rnacentral:rRNA from 1 species
GAUGAACGCUGGCGGCGUGCCUAACACAUGCAAGUCGAGCGAACAGACGAGGCGCGCUCUCCUCUGCAGUUACCGGCGGACGGGUGAGUAAUACGUGGAUAACCGACCUAUAAGACUGAGAUAACUUCGCGGACGCGGAGCUAACACAGGACAAGAGAUAGAAACGGAUGGUUCAAUAGUGAUAGAGGGAUUUGCUGUCACUAAUACAGAGAACCGCGCCGCAUUAGCUAGUUGGUAAGGUAACGGCUUACCAAGGCAACGAUGCGUAGCCGACCUGAGAGGGUGAUCGGCCACACUGGAACUGAGACACGGUCCAGACUCCUACGGGAGGCAGCAGUAGGGAAUCUUCCGCAAUGGGCGAAAGCCUGACGGAGCAACGCCGCGUGUGUGAUGAAGGUCUUCGGAUCGUAAAACUCUGUUAUUUGGGAAGAACAAAUGUGUAAGUAACUAUGCACGUCUUGACGGUACCUAAUCAGAAAGCCACGGCUAACUACGUG